rnacentral:lncRNA from 1 species
GUGUUACACGGAGGUACUGUUUUAAGACUGUUGUGUGUUACACGGAGGUACUGUUUUAAGACUGUGUUGUGUGUUACACGGAGGUACUGUUUUAAGACUGUGUUGUGUGUUACAAAGGGGUACUGUUUUAAGACUGUUGUGUGUUACACGGAGGUACUGUUUUAAGACUGUGUUGUGUGUUACACGGAGGUACUGUUUUAAGACUGUGUUGUGUGUUACAAAGGGGUACUGUUUUAAGAUUGUGUUGUGUGUUACAAAGGGGUACUGUUUUAAGACUGUUGUGUGUUACACGGGGGUACUGUUUUAAGACUGUGUUGUGUGUUACACGGAGGUACUGUUUUAAGACUGUAUGCUGACUAAGGCAGGAGAGGUUUUUGUCAACACAUAUGACUGCUUGUUUUGUAAUUAGUGGAUAAAAUUUUCUUAUUCUGAAUGCUACGCAGUAGUUAAGGGUAACCUUCAAGCACAUGAUGUAUUUAAUUGGUUUACUGAUAAAAAAAAAUGUUUUCUUUUGAUGUACUUUUCAAUAAAGUGUUAUUAUAUCUGUACUUAUCAAUAAUGGUGAGAUUAAAAGGAAGUGGAAAGUUUAGGAAUUAUGAAUUUUCCUAGAGUAGAAGUUAAGUUGUCAAUCAGUACCGUUAUUUCUUCAUAUAAUAAUGUAUGGACAAUACGAAUCAAAUCAAAAAAAACUUUCCUCUGUAAUAUUCAUAAACAGGUUGUUCUCGUUUAUCAGUUCUAACGAAUGCGGCCUGAGAUGGCCAGAUGGUUAGGGUGCUCGACUCCCAACCUGAGGGUCCUAACCAAACACGCUCGCCCUUUCGGUCAUGGGGGCAUUAUAACGUGAUGGUCAAUCCCACUAUUCGUUGGUAAAAGAAUAGCCCAAGAGUUGGCGGUGGGUGGUGGUGAUUAGCUGCCUUCCCUCUAGUCUUUUACUGCUAAAUUAGGGACAGCUAGCACAGAUAGCCCUCGUGUAGCUUUGUGUGAAAUCCAAACCAAACUCUCACAAAUGUGGGUUUACAGUAAUGGAAACGCGACAUAAAAAAUUUUCAAAUCUCUUAAACUUCUUACCCUGACAAAUGUUUAACUUUAGUAUUAUUAAUGAAAUAUUAUAUUUUGAGGUAUAUAAUGUGAGAUUUAAUUAACAGAUAAUAAACCUGUUAAAGUUAUACUAUAACAGUUUUCACUUUAGAUACUGAUAUGACUGGAUGUUUCUUUAUGUCAUUUUCAAACCAGUGUAUUAACACUAAAACUGAGACAAGAUUAUUUAUGUUUUACUUUGAUCUGCUUGUAUUACUUAAAUGUUCUUAAGGAUUAUCACAUAUCAAUCUUUGUUAUGUUUAGUAUCUAUAUGGUUACCUAAAUCUAAGGAUCGUUUAGUUACUGUGUACUAAGCAGAAGGCUUGACUGAAAUAAAUGUGAAUGUGGAGCAAAACCUGAAAAAUAUUUAUACAUUCAAGCUAUAUCAAGAAAGAAUGACAACUUCCAUAAUUCUUAUUUAGACUUGUAUUGAGUGAAAUACCAAAAAUACUUUAUUUUGGAGCAAUUUGUAUUUAUGGCAAAUACAAUCCCUAAUUUUGAACUACUAACAACAGGGAAGGCAGUCGGUCAGCAGCAUCCUAUCGCCCAUAUUAAUGAACUGACUGUCACUCUUACAAUGCACCCACUGCUUAAAAUGCAUGAAAUAUUUAAUGGCAUUGCACAGCUUCAAAUCAGGCUCACCAGCUCUGAAAUCCAGAGCUCUUACUACAGGGUCAGUUCAUACCCAUUUUGGAAGAAAUUCCAAAUAGUCCUGUGUUAAACUAAAUGAGACAUCAAAAACUUAAAAAAUAAACAGUUGGUUGAACCAUUAAAAAAAAGUGUUUUUGUUCAUUAUUAUCUGAACUUUAUUUUAUUGUAAACAAAAUUUAAUAAAUCCAACAACUAUAUUGAGCUGUAAAUUUAUAAUACUGAAUUAGUAUGUAAGUAAUAACCUGAAAGUAUGUUUAAAUUUUUUUUAAAUGAAUGAUACAGGUUUGAAAAAAAACAUUUCAGUCAUUAUCAGUUAGGCUUGAUAAUAAUAAUAAAUUAGGCUUGGGAUGAAAUUUUGGUUAAGAUAUUGUUUGAUCUUUAUAGCCGGUCUAAUUUUAACAGGUUUUGUUCUCAUAGAAUCUUGAUAUUUAUUUACUAGCUACAAAUAAUGCCUUCUGAUUAAAUAUUUACAAAAGAGUCUGUGUGAAAAUCAAAAAUGCAUCAUGAAGCUUAACAAUUUUGAGCUAUUACUGUCAACUAAUUGUUAUAAUAUUAAUAGGAGAUUGAUAGUGAAGUAUUAGUUUUGUGUUUAAGAAUUUGGAUGAUGAUAUUUGUAUGUUUAACAUAGUUCUACUAACAAGCAUUGAAUUUGUGUGCUACGAUAAAUACUAAUAAUUACAUCCUACUUUGCUAUGUGUUAAUGAGUUACGUGACAUAUAUAUUUUAAAUUCUUAUAUACUUGCAUUAUAACUUCUAUUAGUAAGUUGGAGAAAUAAGAAUAGGAACAAAUACUCCUCAAACUUUAUUUUUUGUAAUUCUCGUGUAUUGAAUAUGUGAAAAAAACAGUGCAAGAUAUGGCAAUUAAAUAUACCAAAGAACGCAAAUUAUCUUUAUUCUUGUCAAAACUCAGACAAGUUAAAAAAAAAAAAAUGGAGGGGUAGUCAACAGUAGUGUAGUUUAAAUUAAAAAUUCUGUCUGUAGAUGAUACGAUUUUCUUUUGCCAGAUGUACCUUUUUAACCCACCUUACCAAGGAUGCUUCUCCUUCAUCAAAGUUAGGAUGAAAUUUUUAUUGUAACAGUUACAAGAACUUGUUCUUUAUAAAUGUAUAUCUUUAAUUUUAUUGGUUCUGAGACAGAAUGAAUUGUGGUGUAAAUUACUGCUUUAUGUACAUCUUGGAUUUUAGUAUCAUGGCCAGGAUAUUAGAAUAUUAACUCCUAAGUUAUUUUGUCUACAAUAUCAUUAUUUGAUUUAAUAUUUUAACUACAGUUAAUAAUUUUUAUUUAAAUACCAACCUUGAACUUGUGCAGUUUUUAUGUAGCCAAGUUGUAAAAUAUAUUGAAUGGUUAUGUUUUUUGUUUUUUUAUGCAUUUAUGAAAAAUAUGUUUUGUCAGUAGUAUUAGGAAUAUCUCAACCAGCUAAGUUGUUGUUGCUAAAUGUACUAUACAUGAAAUAUCAUCAAUAAAGGUACAUCUUUAGUCAUUUUGAA